rnacentral:rRNA from 1 species
AUUGAACGCUGGCGGCAUGCUUUACACAUGCAAGUCGAACGGCAGCACGGGUGCUUGCACCUGGUGGCGAGUGGCGGACGGGUGAGUAAUGCAUCGGAACGUGUCCUGAAGUGGGGGAUAACGCAUCGAAAGAUGUGCUAAUACCGCAUAUUCUCUGAGGAGAAAAGUAGGGGAUCGAAAGACCUUAUGCUUUUGGAGCGGCCGAUGUCUGAUUAGCUAGUUGGUAAGGUAAUGGCUUACCAAGGCAACGAUCAGUAGUUGGUCUGAGAGGACGGCCAGCCACACUGGGACUGAGACACGGCCCAGACUCCUACGGGAGGCAGCAGUGGGGAAUUUUGGACAAUGGGCGCAAGCCUGAUCUAGCAAUGCCGCGUGAGUGAAGAAGGCCUUCGGUGUAAAGCUCUUUCAGUUGAGAAGAAAAAGUACGUGACUAAUAAUCAUGAUUCAUGACGGUAUCAACAGAAGAAG